AACAUCCAUGGGCGGAUUUUCCGUUCACCGGAUUUGCUGCCAUGGUUGCUGCUAUCGGGACUCUGAUGAUUGAUGCUUUUGCAACUUCUUAUGCGACCUCUUAUUAUCGCAAGUCUCACUUUGGUGAAGCGGAGGAUAACGUAUCAGAUGAAGAGAAAGUUGGGGAGCAUGCAGGUCACGUGCAUGUUCAUACUCAUGCAACUCAUGGCCAUGCUCAUGGAUCUAUUGAAUAUGCUGGUGAAUCGGAGCUUCUACGACACCGUGUCAUAUCUCUGGUUAUAAUUUAUUUAUUUAUUUUUAAAUUUUCAUGCAUAUAUAAAAUGAUGGUGAAUUUUUAAUUAUAUUGGUAAAUUAAUUAAUUAAUUUUUAAAAAAAUUUCAUUUUGGGUUAUUUUUUUCGUUAGGUUUUGGAGUUGGGAAUUCUUGUGCACUCGGUAAUCAUUGGAAUUUCAUUGGGUACUUCUGAGAGUCCAAAAACUAUUAAGCCUUUGGUUGCAGCGUUGACUUUUCAUCAAUUCUUUGAAGGAAUGGGUCUUGGUGGUUGCAUUACGCAGGUAAUUGAUAUUUUUUAUUUAUGAUUAAAUAAAGUUUGACCAAUUUGACAGUUGUCCAUUCUUUUAAUUAUUAUUCUUACUUUGUAAGUUUUAAUUAAGAUGCUUGAUACAUGGUGCUAACUAGCCAUAAGAAUCAAUUAUCAAAUCACUUUUAUUUUGGAAAACUCUUUUUUUUUUUUGGUUAGAAAAAGGAAAAACUUAUUUGAAGUUUUAAAAUUCUCUGUUUUUUUGUUUACGCUGUUGACUAUAUGUGUGUACAUGUAAUACUAAAGUCUUUUUGUGACAAUAUCCACCUAUGCACAAUCAAGUGGACAAUAUGGCUCCAAAUUUCAUUAGUAAUUGAUGUUAACAAUUUUGUUUUAACGUGUUCGUUUUUAUAGGCAAAAUUCAAGUCUCGAGGAGUCGCAAUAUUGGCCUUUUUCUUCUCUUUGACAACCCCAGCUGGGAUAGCAAUAGGCAUUGGAAUAUCAAGUUUUUAUGACGAAAAUGACCCCACUGCUCUUAUUGUUGAAGGGAUAUUCAACGCAGCAGCAGCUGGAAUCCUAAUAUACAUGUCCUUGGUUGAUCUUCUUGCUGCAGAUUUUAUGAAUCCGAAGAUGCAAGACAAUAAAAGGCUUCAAUUUGGAGCACAUGUUUCUCUUCUUUUAGGAGCUGGUUGCAUGUCCUUGUUAGCCAAAUGGGCUUAAAAAUCAUAGAGAUUUUUUCGGCAAUUUUUGUUUAUCCAAUAGUUUAAUUUGCGGCAGUUUUUGUACAGACAUUUUGAUGGAUGUUUACUAUCUGUAAAAUAACUUAAAUUGAUUAGGGUUAAGUGUAGCGUUUUAAAAUUUAAAGAGGGUAAGUGUCAUAACUCAUUUGAUUUUGGGUGUGAAUCUUUGUAACUUAAACUUGAAGGGAUUUGUAAUUUUUCCUUGUACAUAUUUUAUUUCUUUUGAUUAAAGAUCAUUACUCGUCGGUGAGCUUUAAAUAAUAAAUUCCACAAGGCCCCUGCCAAAAAGGGGUAAAAAACAAAAGGAAAGAAAAGAAAAGGUAUGAACUAAUUUGAAAAGAAGAUGAUAAAGAUCAUGGUGAUGAUAUUGACUCAAUUGAGGAAGAAAACUCAAACUCGUAGUGUUUAUCGAUGGCCAUUGAUAUAUCAAUAUUACACAUCAAUGUAUGUAUAUACAUACGCACAUCAAUAUUGCUAUGUUUGCAAGUUUGUAAUAAAAAAUAACUUUGGUAUUCAACCCAAUGUGUCGUUAUAAGAAAAUGACACAUGUCAAAUGAUUACUUAUAUUUUCACUUUCACUUGAUAGUUUGUAUGAACACUUUGUAUAUGCCGUGUUAAUAUCAAAUAUGUCAUAUUAGUUGGGUAUAACCAGUGGCGGACCCAGAAACUAAAAUGAGGGAGGGCUUAGUUCAAAAAUUUUUAUUUAACUUAAAUUUUUUUAAUGUUCACUCGAAUACAUUUUAAGUCUUAUAAACUCAAAUUUUAUAAUUUUUUUUUAAAUUCUAAAUAAUAAUAGUAAUAAAUUAUUAUUUUUAAAUGCGUGAAAAUAUUAUUUUUCGAAGUAGUUUCCACAAAAUAUUUAAAAAAAUAAAAUAAUGUGGUUAAUGGGAUUUGAACCAAGGUUUUAAAAUCAUUAAAUAACACUCUUACCAUUGAACCACAAGUCUUUUAGUAUGUGAAAAAUGUGUCCAAAUUGUAUUAUCUAACUUUUUCAGAAGGGGCUUGUGGUACAUUUAAAAGAAAACUUAAUGGUCCAUGGGGGGUUGAAGUCCCUCCUGGACCUUAAUUGGGUCCGCCCAUGGGUAGAACCAUAUAAAAUUUAUAUUCUAACUAAAUGUAAUUAUAGACUUAAGUGAAAAAUAUAGAUUUAGUUGGUCUUUUAGUGAAAAUAAGGGUAUUACAAACAUUGUCCUUCAUAUGGCAAGCUAGAACAAUACAUGAAUGGGUCGACGAGGUUAAGUCAAGAGAAACCUAAAAACGCAAGCUGGUUGAAGCCAGCCACUUGCUACUUGCUAUUGCCAAAAGAGAGGAAAAACGACAUCGUAAUCCACUAGGUACGGACUACUAAUUAAUUAGCUGAGUUGUCUCCUUUUACUUCCAAAAACGUCCAAACUCAUCUUGUAAAACUUUCAAUAUUCUGAAUUUUGAUUCCUUAAUUUUACUUAAGAAUUUGGUCUUUAUCUAAGUUUUAAAUAAAGUGUUUUAAUAAGUUACAAAAAAUAAUUACCAUUUCUCAUAAUUUCGGGGCAUUCCGAGAAUCGAACUCGGGACCUCUCGCACCCAAAGCGAGAAUCAUACCACUAGACCAAAUGCCCAGUGACAAAUUGCAACUUCCUUACAAAAUAUUAAUCUUGUUUCUAAAUUGAAGUCAUUACACACAGCUUCAUACUUCUUCGUUUCCAUUAAUAAGAAUUUGACUGAGAGAAUGGCGGCAACUUGAUUCCAAGCAAACAGACUGAUGAAUGAUCACGACAAAGGUGAAAUUGUUUCUGAGUAAAACUUGGAACAAAACUUGACACGUACAUGAACACAGAGAGUCAAAUUAACAAGCUAGCCAACAUCCAAAAUGGCCUACAAAUUCAUAACAAAACGACAUGGGGAUUUGCCACUUGCCAGAUUCCAAUCUCUAGACAAUGCACACAUCUUUUGGUUGAAAACUCGAGCUCUGUUAAAAUAUCUUUUUGUUAAAUAUCUCAAGCUCUGCCAAGGGAGUUGACGUUCAAUCGUUAUCUCAUUCCUAUAUACGUUUCACAUCUCAGGAGCUGAACUAAAGGAUUCAAGUAUAAGAAUAGGAUGUAAUUAUUAAGAUCGUUAACACGUACAAACAUUGCCGAUACUACGAUCAUCAAAUCUGAUUUCAUACUUAACAAAUUAAUUAUUUAUUUAACAAAUAAAUUAGUACCCUAAUUAAUAACUUGAUCAGUGCGGAUAUGAUUUAUGAAAGAUGUAUAUAUGCCACGGGGCAACAAAUUGACUACAAGGUAAUAACAUUAAAUGUUGGACUAGUAGCUUGUUACCAUUCAUUCAUUUUUUAUUUUAUUUUUAACAUUCAUAUAUAAUAUUUAAUAUGAUAUUAAUACAACAUGAUCCCAUGUUACAAGUUAAUUUCAGCAUCAUUGUUAUAGUUUUCAUGUUCAACCUUACAAGCAAACUCCUAAGUCUAUUCAUAUGAGGUGCAAGUGCAAGUAUGCAACUGGCAGAGCUUGAAAAACUUUUUGAGGUUCAUGGUCCUAUGAUAAAGUUAUCAAAAGUAUUUAACAUUAUGCUCUUUAUUUAAUUCUUCUAUAAACUUCUGUCAAAUAAUAGAACCUUAGGAGGGACCCAAUUGGCUAAAUCCCAUCACAGUCUCACAACUGGUCCUGAAGCUUUCUUUUACAUGAACUGCUUAGAAGCAUUUCAGAAUUUUCCUUACCUUUUCUUCUGAAUGAUUUAAGGAAUAAUUGAAAUUAAAAUUGAAUAAUUUUCGUUGCCUUUUUAUCCCAAAAUGGUAUAUUUUCUUGAAUCCAAAACCAGUUUGAAUAUUGAUAUUUGAUACAGCCCCUUGUAACUACAAAAUAAGAUUUUAGGGUCAAAAACUUUUAGUCAGUUAGGUUAGGGUUUUAUUUUUGACAUAUAUUUUAUUGUUUAAAAGGAAAAACAAAUGAUUAAAUAUAACCGUCGUGUUACCCACGGUUUGAUACAAGGAUGAUGAUUCUCUCUUGAUUUGAGCACACCUGAUCUUUUACAGAUUUUGCGUCACUUGUAUUUUAGUAUUAGUGUAUGAUUAGAAUUUAAUUACUUUUUCUUUUUAAUUUCUUAACCACCAAUCAUAUUAAUAAAAUUUACUCAAAAAAAAAAAUCAGACUAGACUAGGAGAGGAUCUCAAAAUCUUUGAUACAACCCUCCUUUUUUUUUUUUUAAUAUACUUCACACUCAGUAUAAAAAAAGACCAUAUUUCAUUUUAUUAUUUUAAAAUUGCAUUGACUAAACUGUAAAUAUUGAAUUUUAGAUUUGGUUAGCCAACCAAGAAGAUCGAAAAUCUAGCUAAUACUGUUAUCCGGCUGGCUUGUCAAAGAAAAAAAAAAUUAAAUGAGUCAAUUAUUAUUUCAACAUAAUAUCGACAUUGCAAGCUUGACUUAACCAAUUUUAGCCUACAGUUGUAGUGAGAAUGCUUUGAAAUUCCUUUCUGGCUGCUUAGUAUGUCGACAUAUUAUCAACACUUUGCUAUUUUUCAAUCCUUGAGAUUCCCAUCCAAAUUUUCAACUAGCCAGUCCCUAAUUGCAGGCCACUUUUAAUUCUGUGGUCAAAUUAAUUAUUUCGUCUAAUAAUUACCAUAAUUUUACAAAACGAAGAAACAACCCAUAUACAGAAGUUUGAUUCUACUCGUAACUUGAUUCUUACGGAAUCGUGUCCUCAUUAUUUCUUCAAAGCUACUUUUGAGAUGAUCAUCGAACGCUAAAGCGAAUUAAACCUUAAUUGGCACUUAGCGUUUUAUCCAAUCUCUUCUGUUUGUUCUAUUAAUUUCUUUUAUUUUGUUUUCUUAUUCUCUUUCAGUUUCAGUACUCGAUGGGGUCGGUGCAUGGGUCACAAUGAUUUUAUGAUGCUCUAGAGAUCAACAAUCACGCGCUUUCACAUAAACUCUGCACUAUAAACAAUUUCCUCUCAAAUAUUCUCAUCAUACAAAAAUAAAAAUCGUGAUAUUGUUUUCAGAUUUCAGAUUCUUUAACAUGAUCACUUCUCAUCGUCUUUUCAUCACUUUCUUUUGCAUUCUUCUAAUACUACUUCCCAACGUAGUACGAGGAGAAUGCACGUGCGAUCCUGAAGACGAUGAUCGAGACAAGACUCAAGCCUUAAAAUAUAAACUCGCCGCCAUCGCUUCGAUACUCGUGGCCGGAGCCAUCGGAGUUUUACUUCCGGUCCUCGGAAAAACUAUCAAGGCACUAAGUCCGGAGAGAAAUAUUUUCUUCCUAAUCAAGGCCUUCGCCGCCGGAGUUAUAUUAUCGACGGGGUUCAUCCACGUGCUUCCCGACGCCUUCGAGAACUUAACGUCGCCCUGCCUCGAUGAACAUCCAUGGGGGGAUUUUCCGUUCACCGGAUUCGCUGCCAUGGUUGCUGCUAUCGGGACUCUGAUGAUUGAUGCUUUUGCAACUUCUUAUGCGACUUCUUAUUAUCGCAAGUCUCACUUUGGUGAAGCGGAGAAUAACGUAUCAGAUGAAGAGAAAGUUGGGGAGCAUGCAGGUCACGUGCAUGUUCAUACCCAUGCAACUGAUGGGCAUGCUCAUGGAUUUCUUGAAUAUUCCGGUGAAUCGGAGCUUCUAC
rnacentral:lncRNA from 1 species